CAUGCAAGUCGUGCGAGAAAGUACCUUCGGGUGCGAGUAGAGCGGCGGACGGGUGAGUAACGCGUAGGAAUCUACCUAGUAGAAGGGGAUAGCCCGGGGAAACUCGGAUUAAUACCGUAUACCUCCUUAGGGAGAAAGAGGGCUUAGCUUUGAUGCUCUCGCUAUUAGAUGAGCCUGCGUAAGAUUAGCUUGUUGGUGAGGUAAUGGCUCACCAAGGCAACGAUCUUUAGCUGGUCUGAGAGGACGAUCAGCCACAUUGGGACUGAGACACGGCCCAGACUCCUACGGGAGGCAGCAGUGGGGAAUAUUGGACAAUGGGCGCAAGCCUGAUCCAGCCAUACCGCGUGUGUGAAGAAGGCUUUCGGGUUGUAAAGCACUUUAAGUAAGGAGGAAAAGAUUGUAGUUAAUACCUGCAAUCCGUGACGUUACUUACAGAAUAAGGACCGGCUAAUUCCGUGCCAGCAGCCGCGGUAAUACGGAAGGUCCAAGCGUUAAUCGGAAUUACUGGGCGUAAAGCGCGCGUAGGUGGUUUUUUAAGUUGGAUGUGAAAGCCCUGGGCUCAACCUAGGAACUGCAUCCAAAACUAGAUGACUAGAGUAC
rnacentral:rRNA from 1 species